GCGCGCGCUUAUACUGAAUGCGGGGCAAAAAAGGAUAUUCUCCCCGGAUUUAGCGGGCGGACGGGGUGAUAAACUGUGGUAACCCCUUCUAUAAAGGCUGGAAUACUCCGGGAAACCGGGGAAUAUACCGGGAUGGUUCCUUAACCCCCAUUGUUCAAAGGAUAAAAGCGGGUUCGGGUUUCCAUUUCCAGAUGGCCCCCGGGGCCAUUUAGUUAGUUGGUGAGGUAACGGUUCACCAAGGGGACGAUGGUUACCCAACUUGAGAGGGUGAUCGGCCCCACUGGGACUGAGACCCGGCCCCAGAUUCCUACGGGAGGCAGCAGUAGGGAAUCUUCCGCAAUGGACGAAAGUCUGACGGAGCAACGCCGCGUGAGUGAUGAAGGUUUUCGGAUCGUAAAGCUCUGUUGUUAGGGAAGAACAAGUGCAAGAGUAACUGCUUGCACCUUGACGGUACCUAACCAGAAAGCCACGGCUAACUACGUGCCAGCAGCCGCGGUAAUACGUAGGUGGCAAGCGUUGUCCGGAAUUAUUGGGCGUAAAGGGCUCGCAGGCGGUUUCUUAAGUCUGAUGUGAAAGCCCCCGGCUCAACCGGGGAGGGUCAUUGGAAACUGGGAAACUUGAGUGCAGAAGAGGAGAGUGGAAUUCCACGUGUAGCGGUGAAAUGCGUAGAGAUGUGGAGGAACACCAGUGGCGAAGGCGACUCUCUGGUCUGUAACUGACGCUGAGGAGCGAAAGCGUGGGGAGCGAACAGGAUUAGAUACCCUGGUAGUCCACGCCGUAAACGAUGAGUGCUAAGUGUUAGGGGGUUUCCGCCCCUUAGUGCUGCAGCUAACGCAUUAAGCACUCCGCCUGGGGAGUACGGUCGCAAGACUGAAACUCAAAGGAAUUGACGGGGGCCCGCACAAGCGGUGGAGCAUGUGGUUUAAUUCGAAGCAACGCGAAGAACCUUACCAGGUCUUGACAUCCUCUGACAACCCUAGAGAUAGGGCUUUCCCUUCGGGGACAGAGUGACAGGUGGUGCAUGGUUGUCGUCAGCUCGUGUCGUGAGAUGUUGGGUUAAGUCCCGCAACGAGCGCAACCCUUGAUCUUAGUUGCCAGCAUUCAGUUGGGCACUCUAAGGUGACUGCCGGUGACAAACCGGAGGAAGGUGGGGAUGACGUCAAAUCAUCAUGCCCCUUAUGACCUGGGCUACACACGUGCUACAAUGGACAGAACAAAGGGCUGCGAGACCGCAAGGUUUAGCCAAUCCCACAAAUCUGUUCUCAGUUCGGAUCGCAGUCUGCAACUCGACUGCGUGAAGCUGGAAUCGCUAGUAAUCGCGGAUCAGCAUGCCGCGGUGAAUACGUUCCCGGGCCUUGUACACACCGCCCGUCACACCACGAGAGUUUGCAACACCCGAAGUCGGUGAGGUAACCUUUAUGGAGCCAGCCGCCGAAGGUGUCAGAAAUGC
rnacentral:rRNA from 1 species